rnacentral:rRNA from 1 species
GCAAGUCGAACGAUUUUGUUUACAAAGUAGUGACGGACGGGUGAGUAAUGUGUAAGAACCAACAUUUAGGACAGGGAUAACAUUUGGAAACGAUUGCUAAUACCUGAUAAUGCUUUUAAGUUAAAGAUUUCUAUCACCUAAAUAUGGGCUUGCAUCCGAUUAGCUAGUAGGUGGGGUAAAAGCUUACCUAGGCGAUGAUCGGUAGCUGUUUUGUGAGAAUGAUCAGCCACACGGGAAUUGAGAACGGGACCGACUCCUACGGGAGGCAGCAGUGAGGAAUUUUCCGCAAUGGGUGAAAGCCUGACGGAGCAAUGCCGCGUGGAGGAAGAAGGCCUUAGGGUUGUAAACUCCUUUUCUCAUUGAAGAAGUUCUGACGGUAUUUGAGGAAUAAGCAUCGGCUAACUUCGUGCCAGCAGCCGCGGUAAUACGAGGGAUGCAAGCGUUAUCCGGAAUUAUUGGGCGUAAAGAGUUUGUAGGUUGUCUAAUGUGUUUAACGUUAAAUAUUAGAGCUUAACUUUGAAGUUGCGUUAAAAACUAUUAGGCUCGAGUAUGGUAGAGGUAAAGGGAAUUCCCAGUGUAGCGGUGAAAUGCGUAGAUAUUGGGAAGAACACCAAUGGCGAAAGCACUUUACUAGGCUAAUACUGACACUGAGAAACGAAAGCUAAGGGAUCAAAAAGGAUUAGAUACCCUUGUAGUCUUAGCCGUAAACAAUGGAUACUAGGUGAUGCAUUUGUAUUGUCGUAGCUAACGCGUUAAGUAUCCCGCCUGGGGAGUACGCUUGCAAAAGUGAAACUCAAAGGAAUUGACGGGGACCUGCACAAGCGGUGGAGCAUGUGGUUUAAUUCGAUGAUACACGAAGAACCUUACCAGGAUUUGACAUAAGAAAAGUUUCUGUGAAAAUAGAAAGUGCCUUCGGGAAUUUCUUAACAGGUGGUGCAUGGCUGUCGUCAGCUCGUGUUGUGAAAUGUUAGGUUAAGUCCGUCAACGAGCGCAACCCUCGUUUUUAGUUGUUGUUUUGCAAUUAUCUAAAGAUACUGCCGAUAAUAAGUCGGAGGAAGGCGAGGAUGAGGUCAAGUCAUCAUGCCCCUUAUAUCCUGGGCUACACACGUGCUACAAUGGUUGAGACAACGAGUUGCAAACUUGUGAAAGUAAGCUAAUCUCUUAAACUUAACCUUAGUUCAGAUUGUAGGCUGCAACUCGCCUACAUGAAGUUGGAAUCGCUAGUAAUCGCUGGUCAGCUAUACAGCGGUGAAUAUUGUACUCAGGUCUUGUACACACCGCCCGUCACACCAUGGGAGCUAGCUAUGCCUAAUGAUGUUAUCUUAACUUUAAUGAAAGUGACAUCUAAGGCCGGGUUGGUGACUGGGGUGAA